rnacentral:tRNA from 1 species
AGUGAAGUGCCUGAUUAAAGGAUUAUUGUGAUAGAAUAAAUAAUGUAGUAUGUAUAUUACCCUCACUA